GCUGGGCACAGUGGUGCACGCCUGUGAUCCCAGCAGCUCAGGAGGCUGAGGCAGGAGGCUCCCAAGUUUGAGGGCCCUUAGCAAUUUAGUAGGCCCUCAGUAACUUAGCAAGACCCCGUCUCAA
rnacentral:sRNA from 1 species